rnacentral:rRNA from 1 species
CCUACGGGUGGCAGCAGUGAGGAAUAUUGGGCAAUGGAGGCAACUCUGACCCAGCCAUGCCGCGUGAGUGAAGAAGGUUUUCGGAUUGUAAAGCUCUUUCGGAUGUGACGAUGAUGACGGUAGCAUCUAAAGAAGCCCCGGCUAACUUCGUGCCAGCAGCCGCGGUAAUACGAAGGAUGCGAGCGUUAUCCGGAUUUAUUGGGUUUAAAGGGUGCGUAGGCGGAAUGCCAAGUCAGCGGUAAAAUCGCGGGGCUCAACCUCGCUCCGCCGUUGAAACUGGCGUUCUUGAGUGGGCGAGAAGUAUGCGGAAUGCGUGGUGUAGCGGUGAAAUGCAUAGAUAUCACGCAGAACUCCGAUUGCGAAGGCAGCAUACCGGCGCCCAACUGACGCUGAAGCACGAAAGCGUGGGUAUCGAACAGGAUUAGAUACCCCAGUAGUC